rnacentral:rRNA from 1 species
UGCAAGUCGAACGAGAGAGAGGGAGCUUGCUUCCUCGAUCGAGUGGCGAACGGGUGAGUAACGCGUGAGGAACCUGCCUCAAAGAGGGGGACAACAGUUGGAAACGACUGCUAAUACCGCAUAAGCCCACGGCUCGGCAUCGAGCAGAGGGAAAAGGAGCAAUCCGCUUUGAGAUGGCCUCGCGUCCGAUUAGCUAGUUGGUGAGGUAAUGGCCCACCAAGGCGACGAUCGGUAGCCGGACUGAGAGGUUGAACGGCCACAUUGGGACUGAGACACGGCCCAGACUCCUACGGGAGGCAGCAGUGGGGAAUAUUGCACAAUGGGGGAAACCCUGAUGCAGCGACGCCGCGUGGAGGAAGAAGGUCUUCGGAUUGUAAACUCCUGUUGUUGAGGAAGAUAAUGACGGUACUCAACAAGGAAGUGACGGCUAACUACGUGCCAGCAGCCGCGGUAAAACGUAGGUCACAAGCGUUGUCCGGAAUUACUGGGUGUAAAGGGAGCGCAGGCGGGCGAUCAAGUUGGAAGUGAAAUCCAUGGGCUCAACCCAUGAACUGCUUUCAAA